GCCACAGAAACAGUGUGAGAAAGUAGAAAUAAGGAUUCUUGGAAUGUACAUCAGGGAAAUCCCACAGAAUGGGUAAAGCACAGUUCCCCCAAAGAAGGAAAGGGUGACAUCAUUGGGAGAAGCAGGAAAGAGAAGUUGGAUGAAUAAAACAGCAGCCUGUAACUGUCUAUCAGAGUGAGGGUUUGAGACUAUACAUAUGGACAGAUUUAGCUAAGAGAGCACCCAACUUAGGAAAUGACCCAGGGAAGUGGGGUGGAGCUGAGACAGGGCUUGGGGGAGGAAUAGAAUGGGGUGCUCAUUCCAGGUGGAUAGGAACUGGUGCAUCUCAGUGGGCAACAGCAUAGCGAAGAGACCGGUACAAGAGAACCCCAGGGCCGGCAUUGGAGAGCAGUGGCAUGGACUGUCAUUGUGCUGCUGUUUUGGAUGCAGCUUGGCAAGAGCACAGAAAGUCCAUACAGCCACCCACAACUUGAUCUACAAGUCGUGAACGGAAACUUUUGAACACGUUCCACCAGCUGCACAAUGGUACCAUUUAUUACUUUAUUCUCAGGGGAAAAAACGUUUGCUGUGUGAAUAAUACCAGGGACUUAUGUAAGCCUCUUCAUUUUCAGGGAGCUUUAGGGAUGUCAGCAAAUUCACACAACACCCUGGAAAGGUAGCAGGCAUUGUCAUGAGAGAGAGAACUCAGAUUUUCCCAAGGCCGAAUGGACAAUAAAUGGCAUGGACUUGUUUCCA
rnacentral:lncRNA from 1 species